rnacentral:misc_RNA from 1 species
AGACUUUCAUCUCGCUGGUGCAAGUCAACGAAAAACUCGAAGAGAGCAGGAAGUCUAAGCUCAACCGUUAGAGUUAGACGACACCCCGAGUAGCAGUCAUAAAGCCCCUGUUAACCCUAUAUUCGGUUGUCAGGGGCUUCGUCAUGGCCAGUUUUGCCCAUUAAUUCGUCGCCACGCGAUCGGAGCUAGUAAUCUCAAAAGCUCACGGGUGCGUUAGGAUAUGGCAAAUGUAACAAUAGGUGAGUAGACUCUACUUCGCCGGAAGCUGAAGUGUCGUGGCAGCCUCAUGGAGGACGCCAGAAGUAGGUAGGUGACAAGCCUUGGC